rnacentral:rRNA from 1 species
UACGGAGGGGGCUAGCGUUGUUCGGAAUUACUGGGCGUAAAGCGCACGUAGGCGGCUUUGUAAGUUAGAGGUGAAAGCCUGGAGCUCAACUCCAGAAUUGCCUUUAAGACUGCAUCGCUUGAAUCCGGGAGAGGUGAGUGGAAUUCCGGGUGUAGAGGUGAAAUUCGUAGAUAUUCGGAAGAACACCAGUGGCGAAGGCGGCUCACUGGACCGGCAUUGACGCUGAGGUGCGAAAGCGUGGGGAGCAAACAGG